rnacentral:lncRNA from 1 species
CCUGUCUCUGGCAGGACUGUGAGGCGGCACUUAGCGCCCUGGUCGCUCGCGCCCCGCCGACGCCUCCUUUUUCUCUCCCUACCUCUGCGCUCUGCGGCCGCCGCUGAGAUCUGGGACGGCGGCACAUCCAGCCCGGGAGACGACUGGCUAGGAAAUAGAACUCUCCUGGCAACCACCAUUCUACUUGAUGCCUCUAUGAAUCUGACUACUCUAGGUACCUCAGAUGAGUGGAAUUAUGCAGUAUUUGUCCUUUUGUGUGUACAACUAAUUUGACAGGCAGUAUGAUAAGGAACAAUCUGAAUGACACGUAAACAGGAGGGGGUAAAUUCCAAGCACAGCCUGAAUGAGAAGUACAACUCAUUUCCUGUAACCUAGAUGCCUUUUUAACACAUCUAUGCAGUCUCCAUGUGAAACCAGGUGCUGUUCCCAAAGGAGAAAACACUGCCCUCCAGUGGUCUUCAAUGAAGAAAUGGAAAUAGUUUCAGGUGGAAACCAGGCUUCUUGGAAGACUUCAAACUAUGCCAAAUGGUCUGAUUUCACCAUAGAGAUUCUUUGCUGAAGAAUGCAGCUGUAUUAAAGGAAGAAAGAAAACCAAGCUACAGCUCCUUAUAAUUCAACAAGCAUUUAAAAGAUUUAUAAAGAUGGUGCAAUUAUGUAUUUAAGCUGCUUCAACACAAGUUCUUGCCUUUCACUCCCACCCUGUGGCUUACACUGGUAUUACAUCUAUUCUGACAUUUAAAAAUCAACAUUAAAGAACAUAUUGUAAUAAUGUAUUCUAUGGUUUAAAUAUUUAAAAAAUUUUACAUCAUACCUAGAAAGUGUUGUGUACUUUCUAAAGCUUAUAAACUGAAAAGGAUUUGAAGAAUCCUAAUACAGAAUCAUAAGUUAUAAUUCAUCCAAAAUUGUAUAGUUCUUAAAUUUCAAAUCCAAACCAGUGGAUAUCUGUCUUUAGUGACAUUUAGAUUUUAUUCAAUUAAGGUCAUUGUAGCUAUUAUAAAUGGAAGAUUUUACUUCAUUGUGUCUUAUCACUGAAGUACUUCACUCUUGCUUUUCAAAAGAUUUCUUUCAAUUUCUUCAGAGUCUUAUUUGUUCUCUAAGACAAAGACUUGAUUUCAGUUUGUUUUUCUUAAAAUUAAUAUCUUCUCCAAUUUAUUUCCCAGUUUUUUCUAAAUAAAUACUUUAAAUAUAUAGAGUAUUAUUUUUAUAGUAUCUCAGAAUUAGUAAAAUAAAAUCUUGCCAAUACAAACAAUUUGUGAUUUUAUACAUUAUAUUGUCAGACUGAAGUAAAAUAAAGAUUAUUUUGUUGCUGCAUAUCAUGUGUUUGACAAACAUUCAGGUCAUAUAUUCUUCUGGAUUAAAACUGCUGUAUUGAGCAUUAUAAGGCAGUCACAUCAGAAGAUAUUUUCACAUUCACAGUUUGUUUUUAAAAGUGGUAGACAAGGUUUUUCUAUGGUGUUUUGUACAAUUAGAACACUCAAUGGAUUUUAGUGUGGACUAGGAAGAAAGGCAACAUUUUAAAGCUAGCCAGCCAGUCAGAACACUACAAAUACGAAAACAAACUUUUAAAAGAUUUUAUUAUUAAGUCUAUAUCAACAAAAUCAGAGAAGAGGUAUAUUAAGAAAAUACUUAUAUUUGAUAAUUUAAUAUGUCAAACAAAUCAUAAAAUAAGUGAUUAUAUAUUAAAUGGAAUGACCUCCUUAUAGUGAGCCAAGAUUGUACCACUGCACUCCAGCCUGGGCGACAGAGCAAGACUGUCUCAAAACAACAAAAAACAAAACAAAAAAAAGAGUAAUGCCCUGUAGUUUUAGCCUAAAACUGGAGAUAGUUACAGAAAGUGGUAAAGAUAGUGCUCCAAAUUCCAAAGUCCUGACUUUGACAUAAACUAGGAAUGACUGCUUCUGAGAUUAAAGAAGUAUUAAAAAACUAAUGGGGAUGAAGAGGGCUGAAGGAAAAGAUAGGAAAAAAAUGACAAACCUUUGUCUCGCUUGGUAAAUAAUUGAUGCUAACUUACUUCUGUGAUGUUUGGAUUUGAUAACUAGUGUGGGUGAAUUUAUCAAGAAAAGAUUCCUUUGGUGUAUUGGCAGGAGGUAAAGGAGGACUCCUUAAGGAAUUCCUAUGACGUAUCUAAACUAAGGUCUUCAGCUUCUUUGGGGUUAGAAACACAGCUCUGCUUACUAUUAUUUUUGUUUUUAUUCUUAUUGAAAAAAGUAUUACUGGUUGUACUAGGCAAUACACUGCACCUUUUAUCAUUCAUGCCAAAUAAAGCUGUUAGUAUAUUUCAAAUGAAAAUUCUGAGUUCCCGGUACCCAAGAAAAAUCUUCAGAAAGGCACCUCUUAACAUGUUACUUGGGGGAAAAAAAAAAAAAAAGUAAACGGUUUUCUGACAGACAUUUUGAAGUCGGGUUUAUUUAGAAUGGGGCAUAACAUGUUAAUGCUAUUUUCCAUUAUAGCAGUCUGAUACAACUUUCUGAAAACAAUCAUUAAUUUUUCAAAGGAUUUAGGAUUAGUAUAAUCAAUGGCAACUUCAACACUUUCCCAGAAACUCAGACUUUUUUGUCAAUGCAUUAUCUUAAUAAAGAUUAAUCAGUUUGUUGAGCAUCUCAGAGAGUAAGAUAACUUGUAUUUUUCUUUCUAUUCUCAAAUAUAAUCCAAGUGGGCUCUGUACUGCAGGAAGAUGAAGUUGUAACUUCAAAUAAGAAAGCAAGGGAAUUUUGAACAUUAUAUUUUAGGAGAUUUUAAGCAUUAAAUCAUUCAAAAAAUGAAUUUAUUUUGAGGUACUAAAACUUAAAAUACUUAACAUCAUAAACUGUUCCAAGUACUAGUUUGGAAAUGCUGAACUUGUGGAAUGAAUGCUGAAAUAAGAGUUUUACACAUCAUACUUUUCAUAUACACUUCCAGUAUGUCGCUGGGUAAGUCAUUCAACUAAAUCCAUUAAGAUAAACACAUCUGAAACAGUUGGAAGAUGUAAAAUGUUUCCUUAAAUUUCCUAUGUGAAUUGGGAGAAUUUUGAUUUAGUGUAAGUCAAUUUAAGCUUCUCCCUAGAUGGGUAUUAUAUCAAAAAUAUAUGUUCAAGGGACAGUUGAAUAUGCAGUGAUAUUUAAGGAGGAGAAAAAAAAGUGGUUAAUAUUUCAUUAGUCCAAAUCAGGCUUUAUUAUUGAUGCAAAAAUAAUCAAAAAUGUUUUUGUUUCCCAUUCUAGGAUAUGUUAGAUAUCAACCUCUCAAAGAAAGAAAUGUACAUUUUCCUUAACACCUGCUUUUGUUAUAGUUGAUACUAAAAGUGAAAUUAUUUUAUUCCUUUUAUAAAAAAUUGGAAAGAUACAGAAAAGAAAUAAAAAUUGUCAUUUGAAACCAUAUUUUUUCUUAAAAAUUUUAAGCAAUUAAAGUCAGCAAAAUAAAAUUGAGUUACAGAAUUUUUUUUUCCUUUUUUGAGACAGAGUCUCGCUUUUGUUGUCCUGGCUGGAGUGCAGUGGCGUGAUCUUGGCUCACUGCAACCUCCAUCUCCUGGGUUCAAGCAAUUCUCCUGCCUCAGCCUCCCAAGUAGCUGAGAUUACAGGUGCUCGCCACCAUGCCCGAGUAAUUUUUGUAUAUUUAGUAGAGACAAGGUUUCAACAUGUUGGUCAGGCUGGUUUCGAACUCCUGACCUCAGGCAAUCUGCCCACCUCGGCCUCCGAAAGUGCUGGGAUUACAGGCGUGAGCCACCGCGCCCAGCUGAGUUAUGGAAUUUUUAAAGAUAAUUCUGACUAAACUCUUUAACAAGAUGUAUAUUCUCUCAUAUGUAUGUAAGAAACCUAAACUUUAAAAGGCUUCUAUUAAGUAAAGAAGGUUAGUUUUCAAUGAUACAUAUUUCACUUAACUCCAGUGUUCAUAUCAAAGACUCCCUUUAAACUUUAGUUACGAUCCUUGCAUGCAAAGGAAUAUUUAUUUUUAGCUAGCUUAGGCAACUGAGUGUAGUCAAUGUUUUAUUUCGUUUCGGGAUGAGGCUAAAUAGAAAUAUGCUUUUAAAACAGAAACGAGAAUCCUUACUUGGAUCAAUGUAAACCAAGAAGUAAGCCAAGGUGGGAUGGGAUGGAUUGGUAGAGGGAAUAUAAACUAUGGAAUAGGUAUAAAUGUUAGCUUGAUAAAAUUCACUACAGAAAAAGGAAAAGUAAGUAGUAGGAAAAAAACUGAAAAUAAAGAUUCAUUUGUCAC